UCACAUGCCCUUAAAGAAGGCAUAAGGUUUGUAAACUUCUGCAAACCGCAUUACCAAUUUGAUUUUGCGAUUAAGGUCCAUGUAAACUUGCCUGAAAUAUUGGCAAUUGAGGAUGUUCACCAAAUACAAUACCUUUACAAAUUCGAAACAUAAAAAAUAUAUACUAUGAUAAGAAAUGAGAAUUAAUUAAAUAAGAAAUGCUUUGACACAUCUAUAUAUAUAUAUUCAACUUUCUUAAUUAUUAGCCCUAAAUAUUAUUUUCCUUUUUAUUCUAUUUUCUUCUAUACCUAUUUUUUUUAUCAUUAAAUAUUUACCUUUUAUAUUUUAAUUCAUUAUUGUUAUGAUUUUAUAACUAAAUAUUUAUUUACUUUAUAUGAAUAUUUUUUCAUCUACCUAAAUAAAUUUUCCUUACAACUAGAUAUUUAUCUAUUUUUUUAUUUACAGCUUUCUAUUUAUUAUUAUUUUACCCCUAUUUCUCUACUCUAAAACCUCUUAUAAUUUUUUUAUAAUAUUUUUCCAUCCUAUUUAAAUUAAUCACAUGUUUAUAACAACAAAUUUCAAGCUAAAUAAAAUAAGCCAGCCCAACAAACUUAACCCAAGCAGAUUUAUAAAUGGGUCAAAGAAAAGGUUAUACCUUUCUUGGGCUAGAAUUGGCCCAAGAUAGUCGGCGAAGGAGAAAACAAGUCUGCUGCACCAGCUAACUAGAUCCCUUUCAAAACGCACCGUUUGGUGCUUUAAAGGCCCCUUCAAACAACGCCGUUUAGGCUCAAACUCACUCUCCCUUCCCUUCCCCAAAACAACGCCGUUUAAUAAUAACCAAACCUAAGUAUAAAAAACCUCUUUUCUCCUUUUCUCUCAUUUGCCCUUUUCACUUUCUCUCUCUAGUCAUCGACACGUUCUACCUUCUCUCUAAAACAAAACCCCUUCCCCUUUUCUUUCAAAUCCGAAAUCCAAACCUACCUCUCUCUUCACUUUCCUAGCCGGCUGCUCUUCCUUCUCUCUCCCUUACAACCACCAAUCGAAAGCCCCAAACCCCGUGACUAUCUCGAAAGAGAAGAAAGAAAAGCAAACCAGUCCCUCUUAGUUUCGAAAUUUUUUAAGGCUUUUUCUUUGGAUUUCUUGGUUGUGGUUUUUUUAUUUUUUCUUUCUUUUUGUGGUAGUGUAUAUGGCUAAGUAUUUUGGUUGGUAACAUAAAGUUAGCGCUUUUUCAUUCUAGGGAUUUUUCUUUUUUUUGCAUCUCUUGAUUGUGGCUGUUGGUUGUUGGUAGAAACCUAGGAUUUUUUGUUUUGAUUUUAGGGUUUUCAAUCUCUCAAUAAAAUCUGCCCCUUUUUAGCUUUUUUUCAAUCCGGCUUUCCUCCCUUAACCAAAAUUUUGAAGAUGAUGGCCUCGAAAAGGUGAGCAUGAUUUCACAGAUAAUGGCUUAUGGAGGUGACCCAAAUCUGACUCCCAAUGGGCAUUGAAUGCUCUGUGCAAGCGUGUUUUCUGAAAUGUUGACUAUGGAGGUCAUGUAUUUCAGUUUUUUUUAUUAUAAUUUAUUUUAUUUUAUUUAUUAUUUAUUAUUAUCUUUUGUUUGAAAGAAAAAAAAAAGUCUAACAUUAAUGAAGUACGAAACUUAAAAUAUUAGAUACCUCACUACAAAAAUAUUUUUAUCUUGAAGAAACUUGACAACAUUAUCUAAUGCAAGAGUGUCUAAUAUUGUAUUUUAUUUAAUUUAAUUUUUAUUAAUUUUAGUUGAUUUAAGAGUAUAUUAUUAGAUUAUUAUUAUUUAAGAAUUAUAGAUAUAAUAAAAAAAAAAAUUUUACUUGUACGAGGACUUUAAGUUAAUGAUGUUUUAUUUAAAAAUAGAAUACUUAUUUUGUUCAAAUUUCUUGUUAACUAUUUUAAUUGUAUUAGAUAAUUAAGAGUAGAGUUUUAUUAAGAUGUGGGCUUAUAAUACUAUAAAUAACAUUUUUAAGUUUAGUUAUGAGACAUUUAAAUUGAGAGUUAAUAAAUAAUAUUUUUUGAAAUAGGAGUGUUUAUUUUUUUGGGUUUUUUUUAAAGAGUAAAAGGUUUUAGUAUCUUUAGUUUAACCAACCAAAGUGAGAUUUUGGUUAUUUUUUCACUUUAGUAUGGUUUUUAAUCUUGUCAAAAUUGGUGAUUCACUUUAGCGAGGUUUUUAACCUCAUCACGAUUGGUGUCUUUCAUAACAUCCAGAUGUUUUUACAACGCAUAAGUAAUUUAUCUAUAGUAUAUAUUGAAAUAAAAUUGGGUACAAUCCAACAAUUUAAUAGAGAAAGAUAAGAAAGCAAUGUUUAAUCAUAAUUUGGAAGUAUUGAAAUAAAAUUAUUAAAGUUGAAUAAUAAUCUAACAUGUGGUCAUCACCUACCUUGAUUUUGGAAUUUCUUUUCCCUUUUUCCCAUUGAUUUUUCCGUGUUCCUUUAGUUGUUCAUUCUCCUAUUCUCUAUGUGAGUUUUAAGAGGUAUAAAUAGGGAUAAGAAAAGUUGUGUGUUGUAGUGGAAAACCCCUUAAUUUUGGUACCCCUAAGCCACUGCUUUUGAGCAAUGAAUGAAGUAAUUAUGGCAACCAUGGUCCUAAUUUCAAGUGUGAAAUCACAUCUUAUGUUGAAUGUGAAUAUAAUUAUUAACAUUUUAAUAAAAAUUUAAGUUAAUCACUACUUAAUGGAGUUUAAACUUUUGAAAAUUACAUGAUUUAGAUUUGAAAAAUUGUUCGACCAAUAAUAUUUAAAUCAAGAUCGUUACUCCAUGUGAUUUGGUUCAUACACAUUGAUAGUAGCCAAUUGACGCGAGAAGCUGAAAGUAGGUUAAUUACCACAAAUGACGAAAGUAAAAGAGAGUUUUUUUUUUUUUUGUUUGAAAAGCAUGUAAAGGUAAAGGAUGGAUUAAUAGUAGGGAUGCCUUCCCUCAUAAACCUACCUUUUCUUUUCUUUUUAUGUAAAAAAAAAAAUAGAAGGUGCGUAUGAGAUUUCCACCCUUUAACCAGACAAAAAAGUGAAAAUUCCUUAAAUUCUUUUCCUUUCUCUUCGUAAGUUAACUAAAUAAGGUAAUUUUAUUAUUAUGUCAAAAAUGAAUCUUUUCAUAGUUCGAAUUUUAUUCACAACUGUUAUAGUUUGAGGACUUGUUUUAAGGUAAAAUAUACAUACUGCUAUGAGUUUUGGCCAUAAUUUCUUGCAAGUUUAUUAAUAUUCGAAAUGAAUAGUCCGUUCCAAAAGAAUAUCUUGCGCUGGACGCAUAAGUCCUAUCAUUAGUUAAUCGUUAAUGUUUUUGGUAUUUGAUCACGUGGUAAUAUUUUUAGGAUAAUUUUACCUUUCAUUAUGUCGUAAUGUGCGGGAAUGAGAACCUGACGCUUGGCCUGAAAAAUUUAGAGAGUCGCGCGAAAUUUUUUUUUUUUAUCUAGGUGCGAUUCGCCACCUAUUAAAAUUGUUCUUCUCAACAAAGUCUUAAAUUAAUUUUAGGAUUGCUUAAAGAACAAGACUUAGUCUAUGUAUUUCAGAGUUGGAUUCGGAAGUACAGUUACACAUGGGGAAAGAUUAGCAAUCUCAUGAUGCCCGUUCUACAAAUAGUACCACUUUAUCAUAUAUUAUCCUAUUAACCUUAACUUUUUACUUUUAUUUUUAUAUUUCCCUAAUCCUUAUUUAUUUAUUUUAUUUACAAAUUAAAAAUUUUUUUUUUCAACCUUACGGGGUGAGACGUGCAUAUGAUGCAAUUGUAAAAUGCAUGGCAUAAAAUCUAGAUAAUGUCAACGAAAACCAUUUAUUGAGUGUACUUCUUGAAUCCACCCAUCACACUAGUGAGAUCUAAAGGUAUUCUCUCACCUAGAGAAAUACAUGAAAAACUCGCAUUCGCAAGUUUAAUGAGUAAAUCUCAUCAUCAAAGUAGUCGUUUGUAUGUAAAAACUAUAUUUUAAUAAAUGCAAAUCUUAAUACAAGUAGAAACUUUUUAUUAAGGAUAUUCUUCGAGUCUUUUCAUUGUACUAGUGGGACUCAAAGGUAUCCUUUCACCUAAAAAAUAAUUGGUUAAAAAUGUUUGUUUACACUAUGUCCAUGAGCACUUUUAUCUUCUGGUUCCCCCAAAUUUGUUUCUGUUUCCAGGCGCGUGUAUGCUUAUAUGGGAAUCCCAUUGCAAUCAAGUAAUAUCUCAUCUGCACUUGCAACAUUCAGGAUGCUUGAGGAGCCCAUUUACAAUCUUCCCGAUACAAUCUCAACGACUGUGAUUAGACUAAAGGAUCCCUGAAUAGAAUAUCCUAAUCAUUUCUCAACAUGAUGACCUGCCAGCUGAUGUCAUUCAGAAGCUUCCUAAAGGAAGUACUGUCAUAGCAGUUGAUCAGAAGUCCUUCCACCAGUUCCUUGGUUCUCUUGCUCUAUCUUGGCACAUUCGGUACUCUUUUUGUUCUUCAUUCCGGACUUUUCACCUAAUCAAAUUCCCUUGUAUUCCAGGAAUUUUUCUUGAAGCUUUUGAGUGAAAACAUUUAUAUAUGCUACUCAUCAAAUAGAACUUUAAUUUUACCAAAUGCGAAUCUUAUAUAUCCUGGUGAGUGAUUCAUAUAGUUUGAAACAGUAACUCAUCUUUCCUAGGAAAAUAAGGUAUCCCCUAUCUCUACAUUCCUUUUAAUGGUAACGAGUUAGCAGUUGAAAAAUGGCAUUCAUGCUAUCAGAUGAAUCGAUCCUGGCAAUUGCUUUCUUAAUAUUUGCUGUCAGAGAAGAUGGAGAGAAUCGGAUUGUGGGGCAGAAGCAACUACUAGUCUGUGCAAACGGAUAGCCAGCAAAAAAGACAAUGUUCACCAUUCAGCGGGAGGUAAAAAAUUCCCCUCCACCUUUUUGAUGAACCAUUAAUUUCUCGAAGGUGUUUAACAAUGAAUGAUUCUUUAUUUUAUUUGAAAGCAAAGAUGCUAUCAAGUACACAAAUAGUCACAUAUUGAAAGUAAUGCAAGUAUUCUCCAUCUUUCCCUCAUCUUUUAAGCUGUUCAAAGCUUGAUACCCUCUACUUAAAUCUUAUUCAAAGGGUCGUGCAUACAAAUUCAUUCAAAGGGUAAUAGAUAAGUUUUUUUUUUACAAUAAUUAAGAUUUAACCGCAUGUCUUAAGAGGCCAGGAAUGUGAAUGUUGAUCAUGUAAUCCUCCCAAUCAAUACUCUUGGAAUCGAAGUCAAAUACACCCAUAUCAAUGCCUCUCUCUUGAGCCACCAUUCGCAACUUGUCUAAAUUUUUGUCACUAAAGCUGUAUAAGGAGACAAGAGCAUUUAAAACAAUUUAAUUAGUGAUUAAAAAUAUUAAAUUGUUAAGCCAAAAGCAAAAAUUUUGAAAUAAAUAAUAAACACAUAUGCAUACUCACAUGCCCUUAAAGAAGGCAUAAGGUUUGUAAAAUUCUGCCAACCGCAUUGCAAACUUGAUUUUGCGAUUAAGGUCCAUGUACACUUGCCUGAAAUCCUGGCAACAAAGGAUGUUCACCAAGUGCAAUACCUUUACAAAUUACAAACAUAAAAAAUAUAUAUUAUAAUAAGAAAUGAGAAUUAAUUAAAUAAGAGGAGUACUUAUAAAAAAAUACAAGACAUAAUGUUUUAAGAAACCCUUAAACUAUUGAAAAAAAUUUAAAUAAAUUUUUAUUUUUCUAUUGCGUACAAUUAAGUCUCUAUACUUUUAUUUUGAAUCAAAUAGAUCUUUAUAACUAAUGGUUAAUUGAGGUGGAGAGUAAAAAAUACCACGUGACUAUGCCAUCAUGUCAUAUUAGUAUGUCAUGUUAUUAUCUGUUAUGACAUGUUAGCAUUCUAUAUCAACAUUACGUGAUAUAAAAUGACAUGUAAUGUUUUAACUAAUGACAAUUAAUUAAUUAUUAAUUUUAUGAACUUAUUUAACCCGAAACAAAAGCAUAACAGUUUGAAUGAAUGCAAUAAAAACAUAAAAAUUGAUUUAAUUUUUUCUAAAUAGUUCAGAGUCCUUUUAGAUAUUAUGUCAAAAUAAAAAUUAAGACUGUAACAA
rnacentral:lncRNA from 1 species